rnacentral:lncRNA from 1 species
UCCGAUGUUGUUCCUUUAGCAUUAUAUGACAUAGUGGUGUGUUAUUUGACUAGACUCGUGUUAUUUGGAGGUCGAUUCGCAUGGGAAGGCAUUUUUGAGUAUUGAUUCAAGCACCUUGAGGUAAGUAACUUGUCUAAACUUGGUUUGAGGGUAAAAUCAUUGUUGGCUAUGAUAUUGAGAUAUGUAGGGUAUGACACACAUGCUAGGUGACGAUCGUAUAUGCAUACAACCGGGUU